CAGCAGCCACGGGAAUACGUAGGUGGCAAGCGUUGUCCGGAAUUAUUGGGCGUAAAGGGCUCGCAGGCGGUUUCUUAAGUCUGAUGUGAAAGCCCCCGGCUCAACCGGGGAGGGUCAUCGGAAACUGGGAAACUUGAGUGCAGAAGAGGAGAGUGGAAUUCCACGUGUAGCGGUGAAAUGCGUAGAGAUGUGGAGGAACACCAGUGGCGAAGGCGACUCUCUGGUCUGUAACUGACGCUGAGGAGCGAAAGCGUGGGGAGCGAACAGGAUUAGAUACCCCUGUAGUCCCUGUCUCUUAUAC
rnacentral:rRNA from 1 species